AUUUCAUACCCCGACUCGUUUUUCCAUCCUGAUUUCCCCUGUGGCCAAAUCGGAGCUAAAAUUCUGGCUAAACGGCCGGAAAACACGGCCGAAACCCAGCGGCGCCACCGCGCCCCUCCUCGAUUUUUGCCUCCGAUGAGGCCCUUCCCGGCUUCCGUUUGAUGCAAUUUUUAUAUCACCGGGAUCACCAUUCUUUUCUCUACAGGUUGAUUGAAGCCGAAUCACCAAAACACGAACCUCACCGGAGAGCCGCCGCACCCGAGAGCACCGCCGCCGGUAAGCUUCGGUUUUCCGUAAUUGUUUGGCCCCCCGAGGG
rnacentral:lncRNA from 1 species